GGGCCCGCACAAGCAGCGGAGCAUGUGGUUUAAUUCGAAGCAACGCGAAGAACCUUACCAGGUCUUGACAUCGUCUGCAUAUCUUAGAGAUAAGAGAAACCCUUCGGGGCAGAUAGACAGGUGGUGCAUGGUUGUCGUCAGCUCGUGUCGUGAGAUGUUGGGUUAAGUCCCGCAACGAGCGCAACCCUUGUUAUUAGUUGCUAUUAUUAAGUUAAGCACUCUAAUAAGACUGCUGUGGUAAACACAGAGGAAGGUGGGGAUGACGUCAAAUCAUCAUGCCCCUUAUGACCUGGGCAACACACGUGCUACAAUGGCUGAAACAGAGUGAAGCGAAGCUGAAAGGUGGAGCAAAUCACAAAAUACAGUCCCAGUUCGGAUUGAGGGCUGCAACUCGCCCUCAUGAAGCUGGAGUUGCUAGUAAUCGCGAAUCAGCAUGUCGCGGUGAAUACGUUCCCGGGCCUU
rnacentral:rRNA from 1 species